UACAGAGGUCUCAAGCGUUGUUCGGAAUCAUUGGGCGUAAAGCGCACGUAGGCGGCCUCAUAAGUCGGAUGUGAAAUCCCUCGGCUCAACCGAGGACGUGCAUUCGAAACUGCGAGGCUCGAGUAUGGAAGAGGGUCGCGGAAUUCCCGGUGUAGAGGUGAAAUUCGUAGAUAUCGGGAGGAACACCAGUGGCGAAGGCGGCGACCUGGGCCAAUACUGACGCUGAGGUGCGAAAGCGUGGGGAGCAAACAGG
rnacentral:rRNA from 1 species